GUGCUACCAUUGAUGUAUGAUGUUAGAACUAGAUCUAUAUCUAUAGAACUGAAAUAUACAAUUUGAUGAAUACUGUACUGAAGGUAAAGCUCUGUGGUCAGUAUCUGAUGAUGGACAAUUAAGAAUAUUUGACAUUAGAAAUAAAACAAUGAUCAGUAAUUAUGUUCAUAAUGAUCCUGCUCCUUUAAUGAGAGGAGUCACCAUUGAUAGUGAGAAUAAACUAAUCAUUGGAAAUGAAAAUGGAGAACUUAUACUACUGGACUUAAGACAUAUCAAGUCACCAUUAAAGACAAUGAGAUUAUCAUGAUCAUCAUCACUAAGCCUGAGAGUAUUAGGCUGGCAUUUUUUGAGCAUAAUAGAGCCUUUAUCAUGUACUUGCUAUUUUAUAAAGAACUAUAUGCCUUGGUGACUGUGAAAACAAGGUUUUUAAAGCAAAAUUUUGGUCCAUGAAGUAAAAGUAUCAUAACUAAGCUUUUUCUUUUUGUUGACAGUGGAAAUAUGUAUACACACAUAUCAGAAAGGGUGCGUAUUUUAAGGUUUUUGAAGCAUUGCUACAUUAAUUUUCAAAAGUAUGUAUUUUUGAAAAAUAAUUUUGAGAAUAAUAGCAAUGAAUUGAAAAGAAUAAUUUAACAAUCAUUAGGAACUGAAGCAUAGCAUAAUUACAGAAAUUGUGAGCAUAAUAUUCUCAGGCCUAAUCAUCACCAAUAUGUUCACUGUGUUAUAAUAGUAAUAAAGUAUUAGUAGGACACAAGAAUGGGGUGUGCAUUAAUUGGAGUUAUAAUGAUGACACAUUACU
rnacentral:lncRNA from 1 species